GAUGCAGUGUUUUUUAAAGUCCUAGAUUGUAGAUAUUAUUUCAAAAUGUACGGGUUAAAAAGAAAAAAAAAAUACCAGAAAAAAAGGGAAAUAUGUUUGCUAAGAUAAGUCCAUUUUAUUUGUCAGGAUGUUUUUAAUAGUAUGAUCUGAAUGUCAUUGUUAUUCUUUAUAUUAACAUUAUUGUAUCCAUUCUGCAAUUACUGAUUGUAGACUUUAGGGACAUAAUAGCAUACAUAAAAAUUCCCUGCCUUCUUGGAGCUUAUAUUCUUAUAUGGAGCUUAUCACCAUAAUAAAUAGGAUGGCACAACACAUUGCAGAAUAUUAUAAGUGAAACAAUUAUGAAAACUUCUACAUUAUGGACACUUAUUUCCUUUUGAAGAAAAUCAGAAGCACAGUGUAUUGUAUACGAUGCAUGUUAUAUGAUUGUUUCUGAACUCUGGAUAGUGCAUCAAUAAAGAUAUUAAUUGCUGGCUAUAUUACAUAUAUGUUAGCUAACGCAAUAGUUACUUGUGUGGUGCUGGGUUUGGUAAUAAAAUUGAGAAGUCUUUUUAUUUUAUUUCAAAUAUGUACUCACUCUAUAUUACUUGAUGUAUACUUGAUGUCCCAGGCAUUUUGUUAACUCUAUAUAUGUUAUUUUAUUUCACUCUCAAAAUAGCCCAUGAGAUACAGGCACAAUUUAUUUUACUUAAAAAACAAAAACAAAAACAAGUUUUCAGAAGAUCCCUAAAGGAAAUUUAACUGUACAAACCAGCCAAUUCAGAAAUGAGGCAUUUGUCUCAGAAAUAAUUUCUAGGUUAAGUGAUCUUAAGAUACUUAAUCUAUUCUGAAAAUAGGUAUUUUAAAACCAAUUUCUUGUAAAAUUACGUUCAUUAUUGGUGAAUAAGAAGUGUUUUAGAUUUCAUUUAUUUCGACACCACAUUAUAAGCCUUGCUAACAGGUGUUUCCACACCUAAUCUAAGUGCUUAUUUUACAUUUAACUUUAAAUUCUGCCUUACAGUUGCCAUUUAGCACAUUUAGAUGAUGAGGUCUAUAUUCUUAAAGUAUUGUGUAGUCAAAGCAAAGAAACUUUAAUGUUACAAUAAAUGCCAUCACUCUGCCAGUUGGCUUCUGUUUGGCAAGACAUCAAGAAAUAAAACAAAGUAUGAGACUAGUGUAUUUUGUAACGAAAUGAAGGAAAAAGAACCGAAACCAUAAAAACAUAGGACUAAAGGAGACAGAAAUUCCCACCUUUUGUUAGAAAUUGGGAGUAUAAUGUGUUACAAUAGAACACGGAAAUUUAACAGAGGCUCAUAGUAAACGGAAUAGAGUGGAGUUAAGAAUAAAAUGGAGUUAGGUUUAAAGUUGAUUCAGACAUUAAAAAAAAAAAAGUAAAAGUAAAUUUAAACCUGGCAGUGGUAGGUUCUUAUUUCCGCCCCCUCUUCAGGAACGCUAUUUGAACCCCCUCGCGCCUGCAGGACCCUUUGUCAGCUGGGGCCUGAAAAGAGCGGAACGAAAGGCGGACGGUUUUCGGUUGCUGGGGCGGACGUGGACCCGAUCUGUCCGUCCUUGCAAGUUUCCCCCAAGGCUGGGACCUAGACGUGCGCCAACUCGUGUUCUCUGGCACCGUAGUAGUGGUCGUCGCUGGCCCGAGUUAGAAGCCAACAGUGAAUUCUUCGUGCCUCAGAUUGGUUGACCUACAAGAUGCUUCGAUACCCAUAUUUUUGUAAAAUCUAUAAAGAAUUUCAUUCAUGCUGGUUGGAAUCUGGCAUAUUUAAUUUAGGUAUCUGGCCAAAAAAAAUACAUGCUACAACAGAAAGAUGUAAUGAAUAUGAAGCCGAGGAGCAAACAGAUCAAACUGGAGCUCAGGAGUUACAUAGAUCUCAAAAUGGAGAUUUUGAAGCUAUGACUAAAUUACAUAUCCCAGUAAUGGUGGAUGAAGUUGUUCGUUGUUUGGCACCACAAAAAGGCCAGGGAUAUAUGAUUUCCUGUAAGAAUGUGAAUGGGGAAACUAAAUUCUUUCAAAUGAGUUUCCUGAUCAGAUUUUAUAGAACUACUCUCUACCUCUGUCUACACUAUUUGUGUCCUGGGAGACUGACCUUCCCCGGCCAAAUCAUCUGGCUCCCCUGCCCUGUGGCUUCUGGUUGGAUUACACAAAUGGGAGUCACCAGCUGGAGAUCAGAGAGUGAGAUUUUUCUAGAUAUGACAUUUGGUUCAGGAGGACACACAAGAGCCAUUCUACAGAAGGAGUCAGAUAUUACUCUGUAUGCCUUGGACAGAGACCCGACAGCUUAUGCAAUAGCUGAACAGCUUUCAGAAUUCUAUCCUAAACAGAUCCGAGCUAUGCUAGGCCAGUUCAGCCAGGCAGAAGCCUUAUUAAUGAAAGCUGGAGUGCAGCCAGGGACUUUGGAUGGAGUUCUUUUGGAUCUUGGGUGUUCUUCCAUGCAACUUGAUGCUCCUGAAAGAGGUUUUUCCCUUCGGAAGGACGGCCCCUUGGACAUGAGAAUGGAUGGUGGCAGAUACCCUGACAUGCCCACCGCAGCUGAUGUUGUGAACGCUUUAGAUCAACAGGCACUUGCCUCCAUCCUGAGAACAUACGGGGAGGAGAAGCAUGCCAAGAAAAUCGCUUCAGCAAUCGUUCAGGCUCGCAGCCUCUACCCCAUCUCCAGAACCCAGCAGCUUGCCAGCAUCGUUGCAGAUCAUGUCAUUGGAUACUCCAGAAAAUGAAUAUGUCUUGAAGUGCAUGGAGUGUGUGAUUAAAUCCCUGAGUACGGCCUGUGCUGCUGUGAAAGGAGUUUGGAUACUCCCUAGAGACACAACAUGGAGGGGCUCUGACAUCACAUAGAGAGGGAAAGGAGUCCAGCUGGGACCACCUUCAGCAGUUCCUGCAAAAGCCAAGGCAAGUGAAUGAAGAAGCCAUCUUGGAAAUGGAUCCCCUAGCUCUGUUCACCCCAGCUGAUGCCAUAUGGCUUAGAGAUAAACCAGCCAGGAAAUUCAAAUUUAAGACAGUCAUCUAAAUAAUCAUGGUGGGAAUAAUGGACUGAUAGGGGAGGGGGAUAUGGGUACUGUCUGGUCCUGGGUCAGUGCAUCCUAGAUGUCAGCUGUUGGAAAAUGAAGUUGUUCACAUUCAAGAAUCUAUGCAGAUACUCAGAAUUAGAGCUCAGAGGGCACUGGACAUGUAGAGCUAGGCUACACAAACCAUGCCAAAAGCUUACCAAGGAACUGUGCUGGCAACUGGUGAAGAUAGAAGAUAUCAACAAUAAUGUUACUUCAGCUGCUUUGUAUAUUGAACUUCCAUGUAAGAUGUCAUUUGAACAAAGGCUGAAAAAUAGCAUGAAAGUUACUGACAUAAUGCAACACCCACAUAUUACAGAAGAGGAAACUGAGACCUGGAAAGGUUUUGGGGGCCAAACAAACACUGAACAAAGUGGAUGUAGUUCUGGUCUUUAUGGAGCAUACUGCCUGUGAGGUAAGAUGGAUAAUAAACCAAUAGUUUUAUAUUGCUCAAAUAAUUACCUUAUUAUAGAUGUAAUAAAUAGCAUGAAGAAAAAGUACGGGGCUCAAUGACAGGAUGUUACAGGAUAACACAAGAAUGAGUAAAAGUAACAGAGACUUAGAGAUGACAAUAAAACUUAUUUCUUUGUAUCUCAGUCUAACCCAUACAAUCCCAUUUAUAAAUGCUCCAUAAUCUGUUUGCUUAUGGCUGGAAACACACGAGCAUGGUGAUUCUUGAAGCUAUGUGGUGAGAACAGCAGAACCACACAUUGAAAGCAGCUUGGAUUUCUGAAACCCUGCAUUGAAGGCCACCCACCAAAUGCCAGAAUUGGACUGUUAUGUGUAAGAAGUGAAUUUAUAUUGGGUUUAGCCACAGUAAUGUUGGUAUUUGUUUAUUCUGAAGUUAUAAUUACUAUACCUAAUAUGGAAAGAAAUUCUGAAAUUGAAAUGCAAUACUAUCUAUGACAAAUAUUUAAAAUAGGUGGCAUUGACUUCUCAGUAAUGUGUUAGGAAGCUAGAAAAGUUUAAGAUUGGAAAAAUGGAGGCCUAUGCUAUAAAUUUGAACAAAUGUUUGGUAAAGGUAUUGCUUGUGAUAACCUGAAGGCAGAAGAUAGACCUAAUGAGCCUGUAGUUUCAGUUCUCAACUUGGGGUGAUUUUGAACCCCAGGUGACAUUUGGCAAUGCCUAGAGACAUUUGUGUUUGUCACAACUGGGGAUGAGGAUGGUGUUACAGACAUGUAAUGGGUAGAGGCCAGGGGAUGCUGGUAAAUUUCUAGUAAUGUAUAGGAUAAAUCAGUGAAAUACAAUAAUUAUCUUUUGUAAAAUGUCAAUGAUGCUGAAGUUGAGAAACUCUGUUCUAAGGUAUGUAGUUAGAAAGAUUCAGAAUGAUCAUGUGAAUUGGCUCUCACUUCCAUUUUUCACUCAAAUUACUAGAAAAAUAAAGAUAAAUCCAGAAAUAACUGGAUAGUUUUCAUACAAUAAAGGAAUAUGGAAAAUCUCAAAUUUUAGGUCCUCUAAAAAAAUCCUACUUCAAGACCCUAAACCAUAACAAAUGAGAUCUAAAGAGGUUUUGAAUGACAGUGGCUAAUUUACACAUAACCUUGGAGUAAAGAUCAGAUUAAAGGUAUGUGACCUUCCCACCCAAGUCUUUGAUUUCAACUGGUCUCAAGGUAUCUGCUAUUAAUUUGAGACAGAUUGUUCUGGGAACCUGGAAGCAAAAACCUAAAUCAGCCUUGAGAAUUUUGUCUAAGAAAGAACUUUGGACAUGGUUACUGGAACAUGGAACUGAUUGGAAACUAGAUUACAAAAGAAAUUUUCUUUGGUAAAGCAGUUAGUAUUAUUGUAAUGAGUAGUUACUUAUAAGGGGCUCAAGAAAGUGUCUUUGUGGAAAUAGCAUUUAAGUGGGUCCUUAAAAGAUAAAAGGGAACAAUCAACAAGUCAAAAUUAUAGAACAUUGUAUACUCCCUGGGGCCAGGAACUGAAUGAGAGCCAGAGAAACUCAGAUACAGUAAAUUAAAGGGGAAUAACAAUAGAUGAGGCUGUUAGGUAGGAUAAGAACAUAAAGGGCUUAAAGGCUAUGGUGGGGAUUUUUGGUAGCUUGUGAAUUUCUAGGAAUUUGUCAAUUUCAUCUAGGUUAUCUAAUUUUCUUGGCAUACAGUUGCUCAUAGAAUUUCCUUCUAAUUCAUUUAAUUUUUUUUUUACUUUAGUAGUUUGAAUGUGUCAUCCCAUUGCCUUCUGGCCUUCAUAGCUUCGAUGAGUGUCAGCUGUUAAUCUCAUUGAGCCUCCCUAACACAUGAGUCAGUUUUGCCACUUUCAAGGUUCUCUCUGUCUUUGACACAGAUACACUCAGAGGAAAAACAAAAAAAAAAAAACAAAAAAAUUGUGAAGACACAGGGAGAAGAUGACCAUCUGCAAGCCAAGCAAAAAGGUUAAGAAGAAACAAAUUCUGCUGACACCUUAAUCUUGGACUUCUAUCCUUCAGAACUGUGAAGAAAUAAAUUUCUGUUUAAGUCACCCAGUCUAUAUUAUUUGUUACAACAGUUGAAACAAACUAAUAUAAUUCCUGACACAGCCUUCAUGCAAUUUUAUUCUCCUUUCUUGGUAAUGAUUUUCUCCUCUGUUAGAUGCUCUAACUAUAAGUGAUGAAAACUAAAUGUGUGUAAUUGUUAGAGAAUAUCAAAGAAAAUGAAAACCCUCAUUCUUGCUUAAUUGAUCUGCCCAUUUUUAGGAAGUAUCUUCUUUUAUACCUAGGUUAAGCAGAUUCAGACUUUCUCUAUAAAUUACAAUUCUUUUCUCCUCUCCUUUAAAAAAUAUGUAUGUGAUUUUCUGAUGACAAUCAUUUUGUUGAAUUAUUUUUAACCCUGUUUUGCAAAUAAUCAUUCACCAGAAUAUUGCUGAUGGUCAUGAGAGUAGGAGAGAACUUAUUUUACUACACUGGUUGGGAAACAAAUUUGGUUAGUUAGUUUACACAGUUUGUUGUAUUGAUUUGAACCAUUUAUGUUUUGGUUUAUGUUUUUUUUUUUCUGAUAAGACACAUUGGGAGAAGAAAGUCGGAUGAGAUUUUAAGUCCCACCUAGCUCUGUUACUAAAUAACCAUGUUAUCUUGAGUUAACUAACUGGAUUUUCUGAGUCUACUAACUACUUUGUAAUAUGGCAUUAAUUUCAUGGUUGCCUUACCUGGUCAUUUAUUCUUAAUUCAAUAAAGAAACAAGCAGGCAUUGAGGAAUGCCUAUAUGCCAGGCACUGUAUUAGAUAUUGGUGACUCAAUGGAGAGUAAAGCUAGCCACAAUCUGUUUUUGAGGAGCUCACAUUUUAGCGGGAAAAUAAAUAUUUAUCAAAGAAAUACAAAAAUAAAUAUAAAAUCUCAAUGUUUCUAACUUAUGUGAGGAGAGAGGCUUUGAAAGCUUAUCAUGGAACUGGAGGGGUAUAGGAGAAGGGUAUUUUAUCUAAUCAAAGUGUUUGAAGGUCUCCUCAAGGAAGUGAUAAUUGGGCUGACAUCUGAAAAAGGGAGUAGGUGCCAGCUAGGUCAUUGGGAGGAUAAAAAUAAGCAAUGGAUAUGGAUGCAGUACUAUCUUCUUACUAUCAUUACUGUUUUUUAAUAAAUGGAGACCCAUUCAGCUUUUUUUCAUCUAGUCAGUGAACUUACAAUGUGUCUUAUGAUACCUCCUUGUCUUCAAUAAAUCUUCCCAAACUUAAGGUUGACAUACCCACAGAAUUUCAUAUUCUCAAAGUAAUUACCACAUUCAUGAGAAAAACUAUCAAAAAAAACCCAAUUCAUUGUAAAUCAUGGCCCCUUUACAUUUUUCUUACUCUUGUUGCUAUUUCCCAUUCUUUACCUAUGUUAAAUAAUAACUUUUAUAUCCACUGUAUUUAUCAUAUUAAACUUGAAUUAUGGAAUUCUUUCUGUAUCUUAUCUCAUGCAUUGGAAAUGGAGUUAAUUCUCUUCAGCUUAGUCCUACCCCAGUUUAAAGCCUUUGUAAUAAUGUACGUUGUUUUUGAAGACUUCUGACCAGUAAACUGCAUACUUCAAAAAUGGACCAUCUAAGCCCAACAGACACCAUUUAACAACAAACCGUCUGAUUCUCUAAUACUAGGCAAUU